ACACAGACACUUAACAACAGCCACAGUGCCUUUAGACACUCCAGAGAGCCACAAGUUCAAAGCCAGUACUGCAAGCCAAACACUCUAGGACUGUGGACCUCCUCCAGACACACACCCACCAGCACCACGCUGGACUUGAUGUCCUUAUCCUGCCUCUAUCUCCCAAAUGCUGGGAUUACUGCGAUGCCCCCCCCCAAUGGGCUUCUACAAGCUAUUCUCUGCCCUUACCCAAAGGUCCUUUUAUCUCUAACCCAUCUCUGCCUACCUCUUGUUGGAAAGAUCGGUGGUAACCAGGUCCUUGUCAGUAGCAAGGAGACACACCACCAUUGUCAGCAGCCCAAGGAGUUCCCCUAGACUUUUAGGGCUCUUGAUGUAGGUCAAAAUGGGGACUUGGCUUGGGGUCUAAGGAAUUCCACAGCUAUAGCCAGUUUAUGAAGCAGAUAUGGUAAGUUUAUUGAAAGAUAUUUUACUAUAGAUUUAAGCACAAGGUUUAUAAAAGGAUCUCAGAAGAAAGACACAUCCAAGUAUAGAUAUGAGCUUCUCAACAGGAGAGUGGGUGGAAAAUAAGAUGGCACCGUAGCGUAGGUACAGGCUCCUAGGGGAGAGUAACCAAUUAGUUGUCUUAG
rnacentral:lncRNA from 1 species